rnacentral:rRNA from 1 species
CAUGUAGGCGGCAUGACAAGUCUGGUGUGAAAUAUCUCGGCUCAAUCGAGAAAACGCACUGGAAACUGUCAAGCUUGAGUAUCGGAGGGGAAGCUAGAAUUCCUGGUGUAGGGGUGAAAUCUGUAGAUAUCAGGAAGAAUACCGGUGGCGAAGGCGAGCUUCUGGCCAGAUACUGACGCUGAGAUGCGAAAGCGUGGGGAGCGAACAGGAUUAGAUACCCUGGUAGUC